UGAAUGGAUCAGUUGGAUGGAUCU
rnacentral:siRNA from 1 species